rnacentral:tRNA from 1 species
UCCUUGGCAGUCCAGUGGUUGAGAUUCUGCACUUCCAAUGCAGGGGACACAGGUUCCAUCCCUGGUCUGGGAA